rnacentral:rRNA from 1 species
GACGAACGCUGGCGGCGUGCCUAAUACAUGCAAGUAGAACGCUGAAGAGAGGAGCUUGCUCUUCUUGGAUGAGUUGCGAACGGGUGAGUAACGCGUAGGUAACCUGCCUUGUAGCGGGGGAUAACUAUUGGAAACGAUAGCUAAUACCGCAUAACAAUGGAUGACACAUGUCAUUUAUUUGAAAGGGGCAAUUGCUCCACUACAAGAUGGACCUGCGUUGUAUUAGCUAGUAGGUGAGGUAACGGCUCACCUAGGCGACGAUACAUAGCCGACCUGAGAGGGUGAUCGGCCACACUGGGACUGAGACACGGCCCAGACUCCUACGGGAGGCAGCAGUAGGGAAUCUUCGGCAAUGGGGGCAACCCUGACCGAGCAACGCCGCGUGAGUGAAGAAGGUUUUCGGAUCGUAAAGCUCUGUUGUAAGUCAAGAACGAGUGUGAGAGUGGAAAGUUCACACUGUGACGGUAGCUUACCAGAAAGGGACGGCUAACUACGUGCCAGCAGCCGCGGUAAUACGUAGGUCCCGAGCGUUGUCCGGAUUUAUUGGGCGUAAAGCGAGCGCAGGCGGUUUGAUAAGUCUGAAGUUAAAGGCUGUGGCUCAACCAUAGUUCGCUUUGGAAACUGUCAAACUUGAGUGCAGAAGGGGAGAGUGGAAUUCCAUGUGUAGCGGUGAAAUGCGUAGAUAUAUGGAGGAACACCGGUGGCGAAAGCGGCUCUCUGGUCUGUAACUGACGCUGAGGCUCGAAAGCGUGGGGAGCGAACAGGAUUAGAUACCCUGGUAGUCCACGCCGUAAACGAUGAGUGCUAGGUGUUGGAUCCUUUCCGGGAUUCAGUGCCGCAGCUAACGCAUUAAGCACUCCGCCUGGGGAGUACGACCGCAAGGUUGAAACUCAAAGGAAUUGACGGGGGCCCGCACAAGCGGUGGAGCAUGUGGUUUAAUUCGAAGCAACGCGAAGAACCUUACCAGGUCUUGACAUCCCGAUGCUAUUUCUAGAGAUAGAAAGUUACUUCGGUACAUCGGUGACAGGUGGUGCAUGGUUGUCGUCAGCUCGUGUCGUGAGAUGUUGGGUUAAGUCCCGCAACGAGCGCAACCCCUAUUGUUAGUUGCCAUCAUUCAGUUGGGCACUCUAGCGAGACUGCCGGUAAUAAACCGGAGGAGGGUGGGGAUGACGUCAAAUCAUCAUGCCCCUUAUGACCUGGGCUACACACGUGCUACAAUGGUUGGUACAACGAGUUGCGAGUCGGUGACGGCAAGCUAAUCUCUUAAAGCCAAUCUCAGUUCGGAUUGUAGGCUGCAACUCGCCUACAUGAAGUCGGAAUCGCUAGUAAUCGCGGAUCAGCACGCCGCGGUGAAUACGUUCCCGGGCCU